rnacentral:rRNA from 1 species
GACAGAGGGUGCAAACGUUGUUCGGAAUUACUGGGCGUAAAGCGCGUGUAGGCGGCCCUGCAAGUCGGGUGUGAAAUCCCACGGCUCAACCGUGGAAGUGCAUUCGAAACUGCAGGGCUAGAGUCCUGGAGAGGAAGGUGGAAUGCUUGGUGUAGAGGUGAAAUUCGUAGAUAUCAGGCGGAACACCGGUGGCGAAGGCGGCCUUCUGGACAGUGACUGACGCUGAGACGCGAAAGCGUGGGGAGCAAACAGG